CUGAGUUUACAACUCCCAAACCCACUGUGAACAUACCUAUCGUUGCUUCGGCGGGAACGCCCCGGCGCGCCCUCAGGGGCUUGCCCGGAACCAGGCGCCCGCCGGAGAACCCAAACUCUCUAUUUCCCGCACAGCGGCAGUAAUUUUCUGAGUACAAACGCAAAAUAAAUUA
rnacentral:misc_RNA from 1 species